rnacentral:rRNA from 1 species
UACGUAGGAAGCAAGCGUUAUCCGGAUUUACUGGGCGUAAAGUGGACGUAGGCGGCCUUUCAAGUCGGAUGUGAAAUCUCCUGGCUUAACCGGGAGGGGUCAUCCGAUACUGUUGGGCUAGAGGGCAGCAGGGGAAGGUGGAAUUCCCGGUGUAGUGGUGAAAUGCGUAGAUAUCGGGAGGAACACCAGUGGCGAAGGCGGCCUUCCAGGCUGUUUCUGACGCUGAGGUCCGAAAGUGUGGGGAGCGAACAGG